GAACCGCUCGGGAACGGCCCGGGAGCCUCUCGGGAAUCCCUCGGGAGCGGCCCGGGAGCCUCUCGGGAUUCCCUCGGGAACGGCCCGGGAGCCUCUCGGGAUUCCCUCGGGAACGGCCCCCCCGAGGCUCCCGGGGCUCCGAGUGGGGUUUUGGUGAUUCCCCACCCCAAUUCCUCGGGGCUGCGGCCGAACCCCGAAAUAUUGCUAAAAAAAGCGGGAUUUGGGAUUUUCCAGCCAGCUGCUCCCCCCGCGCCGGGAUUCCCCCCCCCCCCAUCCAAAAACCCUGGAAAACAACCCCCGAUCCCAAAAAAAUGACCAAAACCCCCUUUUUUUUUACUGCAAACUCCCCGGGGGAGAGCGGGAAGGACCUAAAAUCCAUUGGAUUAUCCAGAAGAAUCCCCAAGGAGCGGCCCGGGGGAGGCGGGGGGGAUCUAAAAUCCAUGGAAUUCUGCAGAAGAAUCCGCAAGGAGCGGCCCGGGGUAGAGUGGGAAGGACCCAAAAUCCAUGGAAUUCUGCAGAAGAAUCCCAAGGAGCGGCCCGGGGGGGACGCCGGGGCUGCGCGAGGCAGAGCCGGGCUCUGCUCCUGAAGGCACCUCGAGUUUCCAGCACAGUGACCUGGCACGGAGGGAAUGCGGGAAUGCGGGAAUUCGGGAAUUCCGGCUGAUCCCAGGCCAAACCACCCGCGGGGAGGGGGGCGGGGGGAGGGAACUCUGAAUUCCCGGGAAAAACCAAAAAAACAAACCAACAAAAAGCUCCUUUGGGACUCCCCUCGUGAUCCCUGAGAUGUCCCCGGGGUGGGCGAGGGCUGCCACAGCGGGGAGGGGAGCCCGGGAAUGCUGCUGGGAUGGAAUCCGGGUCCUGGAUCCCCAGGAGGGGGGAAAUCCCGAAAACGAUAGCACCCGAAGUGGGGAAAACCAGCAAAAAACCGGGAAUAUUGGGGCGGGGAAAGAGGCGUUCGCAGCUGCUCUUUAGGGAUCCCGAAUCCCUACAGGGAUCCCAAGGCGGGAUCAGAUCCCCAGGGCGAUCCCGAGCCGGCAGCCGGGAAGGGUCGGGGCCGGGAAAAAGGGAAACGGGAAGGAAAUGCUGCGGGAAGAGAGAAACCAAACCAGAAGGACGCAAGGGCGGAGCCCGUGGAAGCCGAGGCGGGGCGAGCCCGGAGGGCCCGCGGCCGGCGGCAGCUCCCGGCGCCGGGAAGGGGCCGGGAAGGAGCCCCCGAGGGCUCGGGAGCGGGAGCGGGAGCGGGAGCGGGAUCGGGACGGGCGGGGCUGUGCUCCGGGAGAACAGCUCAGAGCGUGCGCGGGUUGUACUCGGGCAGCUUCCGCAGCUUCUCCUGCUCCGCCUCCGACUCGUCCCGGGCGAUCACCAGCGAGUGCGCGUAGCCCAUGGCCACCUGCAACGGGACACGGUCAGCGGGCAGUGGGCACUGCCCAUGGCCACCUGCAACGGGACACGGUCAGCCGGCAGUGGGCACUGCCCAUGGGACAGGGUCAGCGGGCAGUGGGCACUGCCCACAGGACAGGGUCAGCCGGCAGUGGGCACUGCCCAUGGCCACCUGCAACGGGACACGGUCAGCCGGCAGUGGGCACUGCCCAUGGGACACGGUCAGCGGGCAGUGGGCACUGCCCAUGGCCACCUGCAACGGUGUGGGCAUGUGGGCAGUGGGCAGUGGGCAGUGCCCACAGGACAGGGUCAGCGGGCAGUGGGCACUGCCCGCAGGACAGGGUCAGCGGGCAGUGGGCACUGCCCGCAGGACAGGGUCAGCGGGCAGUGGGCACUGCCCACAGGACAGGGUCAGUGGUCAGCGGGCAGUGGGCAGUGCCCACGGGACAGGGACAGGGUCAGCCAGCAGUGGGCAGUGCCCACAGGACAGGGUCAGUGGGCAGUGCCCGCAGGACAGGGUCAGUGGGCAGUGGGCAGUGCCCACAGGACAGGGUCAGCGGGCAGUGGGCACUGCCUACAGGACACGGUCAGCGGGCAGUGGGCAGUGCCCGCAGGACACGGACAGGGUCAGUGGUCAGUGCCCACAGGACACGGUCAGCGGGCAGUGGGCACUGCCCGCAGGACAGGGUCAGUGGGCAGUGCCCGCAGGACAUGGUCAGCGGGCAGUGGGCAGUGCCCACAGGACAGGGUCAGCGGGCAGUGGGCAGUGCCCACAGGACACGGUCAGCCGGCAGUGGGCAGUGCCCGCAGGACACGGUCAGCGGGCAGUGGGCAGUGCCCACGGGACACGGUCAGCCAGCAGUGGGCAGUGCCCACAGGACACGGACAGGGUCAGUGGUCAGUGCCCACAGGACACGGUCAGCGGGCAGUGGGCAGUGUCCACGGGACAGGGACAGGGUCAGCGGGCAGUGGGCAGUGCCCACAGGACACGGUCAGCGGGCAGUGGGCAGUGCCCACAGGACACGGACAGGGUCAGCCGGCAGUGGGCAGUGCCCGCAGGACACGGACAGGGUCAGUGGUCAGUGGGCAGUGCCCCUGCCCGUCACCCCGCAGGUGUCCUGAGCUGGGCACGGCCUCAGCGGCCCCGAAUCCUUCAGGGGAUGGCCCCGAAUGUGCCCCUCCCCCAGCCCUGGCCCCGCUCUGGUUGCCCCUCGCCCUCUCCAGUUGCCCCUCGCCCUCUCUGGUUGCCCCUCGCCCUCUCCGGUUGCCCUCUCCGGUUGCCCUCUCCGGUUGCCCCUCGCCCUCUCCGGUUGCCCUCUCCGGUUGCCCCUCGCCCUCUCCGGUUGCCCCUCGCCCUCUCUGGUUGCCCUCUCCAGUUGCCCCUCGCCCUCUCCGGUUGCCCUCUGUGGUUGCCCCUCGCCCUC
rnacentral:lncRNA from 13 species